UUUCCUCGCUCUCGCCUUCGCAUUCCCCCCUAGCUUUUCCCACCCUCGCCCUCCCCCCUAAAUAGCGCCUGCUACGCAGGCUAAACAUAAUAGGGUUCUGCUCAAAUCUCAAUACCAUGUGAGUGCCAGGGAUCUGUUGGCCCAAAUUUGUAAUUUUAUAUUAUGCAAACCAGUUUUAACAGCCGAAGUAUGAUAUUAUAACUACAUGAAAGAAGAGACAAUGCAUUGAUAAAUUGAGGCAAG